AACACAUACACUAUUUUGUUCUAUGGAUCACAAAAAAGCAAAACUUUCUAGUGAGCUCUCUGACAGCACUAAAGGCAGAUGAGAUUCUGCUCAGGACAUUUAAAGCUUUAAAAGCAUUGGGGCACUUAUCUCUACUUCUUCCAGCUACCAGAAGAGCAGCUAGCAGCAUAAUUUACAGAGAAAACAGCCCAUUUUCUAUCUUUCUUGUCUCCUGCUCCACAAAGUUCUUUGGAACUGUAAGAUACAGCUGUGCUACAAAACUCUGAAAAAUGAAAAAUUUAAUUACAAAACUUGGUUACAGCUGGGCAUCUGCAGUAAUGAGGAUCUUGAGAGUUUAAGAAUCAACUAAUGAACAGGAUGUCUGCAAUUUAUCAAAGGGUUAAUCAGGGCCAUGCAAGUCUUUUGUUAUAUUGUAGGAGGGUGAAUAUACUAAGAGGUGUCAGCAAGGACCAAACACCUGAUGCUGAUACAAGCUGACAUUUUUAUGUGAGCUCAGGAUGGGAAUAAGGUAACUAAUCAGUUAAAAAGUUCAUGAAAGAUUCCUAAUGUGAAUUUAAAGGUAAUAGGAGAAUGUGCAAGAUAAUGUCUGAGGAAGCAGUUGACUACAUUUCAGCAGAGAGCACAGAUUGAACUCUUUGUCUUCAGUCUUUUGGGGGAGUGCAUGCCAUUGUCACUGGUGCAUGCCUGAAAUUAUCUCAGCACCCUGGAUAAAGACAUAUUUGUGGUGAACCUGUGCUGUAUCUUCUUGGAUGCCUGAACCCGUCUGAUGGUGUUUAAGAGUUGGUCCUGGAGGGAGGCUCUGGAGCCAUCAGCUGUGAUCAAGAGGAGAGAAUGUCUACCCUAGGAGACAGCAGUCCCAGAAGUGGCAGAGGAGUGGGAAAUUUGUAAGACAAAUCACCAAAGCAGUCACACAUCAAGAUUCUGGGGUGUGAAAAGGGAUCCAGAAGAUUUGGACAUCAGCUCCGACUGCAGAUAAAUGGAGCACGUAGCGGACAUAUCUCCACCUCCAUCAGUGAGAAACUUGAAGAAGAAAGAAGAAAUUCUCAAGAGUGCAGUCUUGUACAUGCAUUCACCCCAGUAAAGGAUCAGCCUGCUUUUCUCAUUACUUAGAGGAGUUUAUCUGCUCUAUUCUUAAAAACUGCCACUAGACAGAGGAAACACAGUCCUUCCAAUGUAUUACUAUCCUCACACAGAUGUACUGCUUUGCAGGAACAUUUAGUAUCUUUUAAGACUUGUCAUGCCCCUCCAUUCAUCUUAUGUCAUUUGAAACUAAAAAUCUUAAUUUCUUUCUAGUUCCUGCAAAUCACAUUUUUGAAAGCUCUGAACAUUUUUGCUGUUCUUUAUUACCUCUCUUUAACUAGUUGACAGGUUUUUCAAAGUGCCGUGUGCAAAUGGGACACAGUAUCCCAAUUAAAGCUUUGUGGAGUGAAAUGAUAGCUUCAUAUGUUGUAUCACAAGCCAAUUAAAACCCCUUUUUGUGACAUCUGCCUUGUUCACAGUAGUACAAUGCUGCUGACUCAUGUUUGGCUUCCCAUCCCUCAUGACUCCUAUGUCACCUCUGUUACAGCCAAGCUGUUCCAUCCUACCCCAAAUUUGAGAUAUACUCUAUCCUUUCUUUUCACAGAAUUUACUUCUUCCAUUUCUCCUAGUUGUUUUGAGUUUCUAUCCUGUCCCCCCAGCUGAUGGCAGUGCCUUCCAGUUUGCUGUCCUGUUGUGUGUUGUCUGCAGACACGCUUUCUGCUCUAGCACAUUGGUCAUUAGUUGCAAAUCCAUCAUCUAGGAUAAACCCUCUGUGGUACUUCACUCAAUGCAAUCUUCCUGUACAACAGUAAAUCACUAGUAACAGCUGCCUGUCUCCCAAUCACCUUCAUCCUAGAGAAAAAUUAUUGUUUGCUUAUGUGAAUGCCACUCUUAAAUUUGUGAUUUAAAAGCAAAAGAAAUAGGGAAAUAAUUUGUGGCCAUCAUUAGACAUUAGUUGCAACUUAAAUAAAUCGAAUCACUAGACUAUUUUCUUUGACUUGUGAAUACUUGGAGUAAGUUUAACACAACUUCAAGUCUUCUCAGGGUUUGUCUCCUCAAAACAAUCAGUUUUGUUUGUUUGUUUGUUGUUUGUUUUUUAAAUAAAGGUAGCAUAUAUAUACUUAAAUGUUUCUCAGAUGAUAGCAAAAUUUCAAACACACAGGAUUUCAACAGUUUUUGAAGGGGUUGCUUGUUCUGUAAUAGAGAUGCAAAUGGUAAUGUUUAGUACCUGCUGUUAGUAAAUACUAGUUAGAACAGCCUUCUCUCCUCUGUCUGGGGAAAUAAAAAUAACCAAUAUGCCUAGUCUCUUUGGUGAGACUUCAAGUACAAUAUCCAGUGUGCUACCAGUGCUGGGUUUGCAGGAUUGUGUAGGGACUCUACUGAUCAGAAAGCCUGGGGAGAAAGCCUGCCUCUUCCUUCGGGCAGAGAAACAGCUCUUCACUGACAUAGAGAGAACAGAAUGAAAACACAGAGUCUUGCCUUGCUCUGCCGUGAC
ensembl:lncRNA